rnacentral:rRNA from 1 species
AUGAAUGCCAGCUGCCCUCCACCAUCUGCAACCGGAGUGUCUGGUGGUGCACACACACCGCCAGCGCCAGACCUUCCCCGGAUCACGGGUUUUUCUCUUCCACCGCCACCCGCAACCAGAGUUUCCGGUGGUGGUGCAAGCACGCCACCGACGCUAGAGGGCCGCAAGAAUGACAGCUGCUCUCCACCACCUUCAACCAGAGUGUCCGGUGGCGCACAUACGCCGUCAGUGCCAGACCUUCGCCCAAUCACAGGCUUUUACCUUCCACCGCCGCGCACAGACAGAGCUUCCAGUGGUGGUGCAGGGGCGCCGCCAAAGCCAAAGGAGCACACGACUAUCAGCGUCCCUCCACCGUCUGCAACUAGAGUUUCCGGUGGUGCAUGA